rnacentral:lncRNA from 1 species
UGAGAGGCACUUGAAACGAGGUUAUUUUGUUUUGAGCUUUGACAAGCAUACUGUUUUGGCACUUGAAAAUAUAUCAAUUUUCAAGUACCAAUUGAAUAUUCGGUAGUUGGAAAAUUCUCUUGUUAUUAGCAGUUGACAAAGCCAAUUCUUUUGGCAAUAAUAUUGGAAACAAGAGAGAGAGAAAGAAAAAAAAAACUUUAUUCUAUAACAAAUUGCAAUUUAGUUCAUUUUCGACAGAAUAAAUCUAAUUGUUGCCCUAUUUAUAUAUUAAUUUAUGGUUAUGGUUCGAUACAAUACAACGAUAUAUUUACACAAAUAAACAGGAGAUUUUUUUUUUUUUUUU